GACGUAGGGCGCGAGCGUUGUCCGGAUUUAUUGGGCGUAAAGAGCUCGUAGGCGGCUUGUCGCGUCGACUGUGAAAUCCCGCGGCUCAACUGCGGGUCUGCAGUCGAUACGGGCAGGCUAGAGUUCGGUAGGGGAGACUGGAAUUCCUGGUGUAGCGGUGAAAUGCGCAGAUAUCAGGAGGAACACCGGUGGCGAAGGCGGUCUGCUGGGCAGUUGCUGACACUGAGGCGCGACAGCGUGGGGAGCAAACAGG
rnacentral:rRNA from 1 species